rnacentral:rRNA from 1 species
CCUACGGGAGGCAGCAGUGGGGAAUAUUGCACAAUGGGCGCAAGCCUGAUGCAGCAACGCCGCGUGCGGGAUGACGGCCUUCGGGUUGUAAACCGCUUUCGCCUGUGACGAAGCGUGAGUGACGGUAAUGGGUAAAGAAGCACCGGCUAACUACGUGCCAGCAGCCGCGGUGAUACGUAGGGUGCGAGCGUUGUCCGGAUUUAUUGGGCGUAAAGGGCUCGUAGGUGGUUGAUCGCGUCGGAAGUGUAAUCUUGGGGCUUAACCCUGAGCGUGCUUUCGAUACGGGUUGACUUGAGGAAGGUAGGGGAGAAUGGAAUUCCUGGUGGAGCGGUGGAAUGCGCAGAUAUCAGGAGGAACACCAGUGGCGAAGGCGGUUCUCUGGGCCUUUCCUGACGCUGAGGAGCGAAAGCGUGGGGAGCGAACAGGCUUAGAUACCCUGGUAGUCCACGCUGUAAACGGUGGGUACUAGGUGUGGGGUCCAUUCCACGGGUUCCGUGCCGUAGCUAACGCUUUAAGUACCCCGCCUGGGGAGUACGGCCGCAAGGCUAAAACUCAAAGGAAUUGACGGGGCCCCGCACAAGCGGCGGAGCAUGCGGAUUAAUUCGAUGCAACGCGUAGAACCUUACCUGGGUUUGACAUGGAUCGGGAGUGCUCAGAGAUGGGUGUGCCUCUUUUGGGGUCGGUUCACAGGUGGUGCAUGGCUGUCGUCAGCUCGUGUCGUGAGAUGUUGGGUUAAGUCCCGCAAC